AGAGUUUGAUCCUGGCUCAGGAUGAACGCUGGCGGCGUGCCUAACACAUGCAAGUCGAACGGACUUAUUGAGAUGAUUUCGGUCUGAUCUUUAAGUUUAGUGGCGGACGGGUGAGUAACGGUGGACAACCUGCCUUUCACAGGGGGAUAGCAGCUGGAAACGGCUGGUAAUACCGCAUACCUCAUAUCACCGCAUGGUGGUGUGAGGAAAGAUUUAUCGGUGAAAGAUGGAUCCGCGUCUAUUAGCCAGUUGGCGGGGUAACGGCCCACCAAAGCGACGAUCAGUAGCCGGCCUGAGAGGCGGACGGCCACAUUGGGACUGAGACACGGCCCAGACUCCUACGGGAGGCAGCAGUGGGGGUAUUGCACAAUGGGCGCAAGCCUGAUGCAGCGACGCCGCGUGAGUGAAGAAGUAUUUCGGAUGUAAAGCUCUAUCAGCAGGGAAGAAAGGCCCGCAAGGGAGAUGACGGUACCUGACUAAAAGCCCCGGCUAACUACGUGCCAGCAGCCGCGGUAAUACGUAGGGGGCAAGCGUUAUCCGAUUUACUGGGUGUAAAGGGAGCGCAGACGGAACUGCAAGUCUGAUGUGAAAGCCCGGGGCCAACCGCGGGACUGCAUCGGAUACUGUAGAUCUGGAGUGCCGGAGGGGCAAGCGGAAUUCUGGUGUA
rnacentral:rRNA from 1 species